rnacentral:misc_RNA from 1 species
GAAAUGCGAUAAGUAAUGUGAAUUGCAGAAUUCAGUGAAUCAUCCAAUCUUUGAACGCACAUUGCGCCCGCCAGUAUUCUGGCGGGCAUGCCUGUUCGAGCGUCAUUACAACCCUCAGGCCCCCGGGCCUGGCGUUGGGGAUCGGCGGAAGCCCCCUGCGGGCACAACGCCGUCCCCCAAAUACAGUGGCGGUCCCGCCGCAGCUUCCAUUGCGUAGUAGCUAACACCUCGCAACUGGAGAGCGGCGCGGCCACGCCGUAAAACACCCAACUUCUGAAUGUUGACCUCGAAUCAGGUAGGAAUACCCGCUGAACUUAAGC